UGAGUGAGUGACUUAUCAGUACCUACAGCGUCGUGACAAAAGUAUUCGCGAUUUGGCAAAUAUGACCGUUCGGCUUUGAUUGAAACGUCUCGUAUUUUGUCUCUUGCUUCGCAAAUACUGAACAGAUUUUCAUGUUUGAUACGUCGCUUGUGAGCUUGAUAUACGAUUAGUGCGCAUGUGCAAUGACGUUAU